rnacentral:rRNA from 1 species
CCAAUAGCGUAUAUUAAAGUUGUUGCAGUUAAAAAGCUCGUAGUUGAAUUUCGGGAUUGACGUGACGGUCGUGCCUUAAGGGGUAUGAACUGUCGCCGUUGAUUUCUCACCUUCUGGAGAAGCUCGAUGUCCUUAAUUGGAUGUCUUGUGGAACCAGGACCUUUACCUUGAAAAAAUUAGAGUGUUUAAAGCAGGCAUUUUGCUCGAAUACAUUAGCAUGGAAUAAUAGAAUAGGACGGCAUGGCUCUAUUUUGUUGGUUUCUAGGAUCACCGUAAUGAUUAAUAGGGAUAGUUGGGGGCAUUAGUAUUCAAUUGUCAGAGGUGAAAUUCUUGGAUUUAUUGAAGACUAACUACUGCGAAAGCAUUUGCCAAGGAUGUUUUCAUUAAUCAAGAACGAAAGUUAGGGGAUCGAAGACGAUCAGAUACCGUCGUAGUCUUAACCAUAAACUAUGCCGACUAGGAAUCAGACGAUGUUAAUUUUUUAAUGACUCGUUUGGCACCUUACG